rnacentral:rRNA from 1 species
CGAUCCUGGCUCAGAUUGAACGCUGGCGGCGUGCCUAACACAUGCAAGUCGAACGCGAAAGGGGCUUCGGUCCCGAGUAGAGUGGCGCACGGGUGAGUAACGCGUGGAUAAUCUGCCCCUGCGGCUGGAAUAGCGACUGGAAACGGUCGAUAAUGCCGGAUACGCCCUUGUUUAACGAUGAGGGGAAAGGAGACCUCUGCUUGCAAGUUUCCGUGCAGGGAUGAGUCCGCGUCCCAUUAGCUUGUUGGCGGGGUAACGGCCCACCAAGGCGACGAUGGGUAGCCGAUUUGAGAGGAUGAUCGGCCACAUUGGAACUGAAACACGGUCCAAACUCCUACGGGAGGCAGCAGUGGGGAAUAUUGCGCAAUGGGCGAAAGCCUGACGCAGCGACGCCGCGUGAGGGAUGAAAAGGUCUUCGGAUCGUAAACCUCUGUCGGAAGGGAAAAAUGUGCAGGGUGCCAAUCAGCCCUGCAUUGAUGGUACCUUCAGAGGAAGCACCGGCUAACUCCGUGCCAGCCGCCGC